UACGGGGGGGGCAAGCGUUGUUCGGAAUUACUGGGCGUAAAGGGCUCGUAGGUGGCCAACUAAGUCAGACGUGAAAUCCCUCAGCUUAACCGGGGAGCUGCGUCUGAUACUGGAUGGCUAGAGGUUGGGAGAGGGAUGCGGAAUUCCAGGUGUAGCGGUGAAAUGCGUAGAUAUCUGGAGGAACACCGGUGGCGAAGGCGGCAUCCUGGACCAAUUCUGACGCUGAGGAGCGAAAGCCAGGGGAGCAAACGGG
rnacentral:rRNA from 1 species